AUUACUGUACACAUGAUUCAGUAUGGAGAGCGAUAAUUUAGUCGAAUCUUCACAAAAAAUAGUGUCGACUCUUAUGGACAGAAAAUUAACACAAUUAGAGGAAAAAGCAGCUGCUUUAGAAAAAGAUUUUGAAAGCAUAUUGAAGAGAACUGGUGAGAUUGAGCUGUGGGCGAAGCAAUAUGAAAUAAAGGUUAAAGAAGAAAAAAGACUGAUUGGUCUGUUGCAUACUAUGGUAAGACCAGGCGACAGACGUGCAACAAGUCUAAUGAAUCAUGUAUCGGUCUUUUUUGACGAGAUUUUAACGAGACUAGAAAACAACGGAGUUCGAUAUAAUAACAUAAAAUUCCUGUAUAGAGACUUAAAAAAAUCAGAAGUAAGUGCAGCAUUGGACACAGUUCUAAUUGACAUGAAUUUUACAUCAGACGAAGUAAAAGAUGUAAGACUUAUUAUCGAACUUGUACAUUCAAGGGUGAGACGAAAAACGAAAUUAAUGGGAGCAUACGAACUACAGUGUGUAGAGAACGACGCAUCUUUUAUACAACAGGAAAUCAAAGUGUUCUUGCAAGUUAGAGACGAAAUAGACGAACCGAUGAGAAAGGUACUGAAAAAAAUAGUAGCCUCGUGUUAUGCUGAAAGCCAAGAGGCCAAAGGGGACCAAAACAACAAUACUUAAUCAUAAGAUAGUUCGCGAUGUUGAAAUGAUAUUUGAAAAUGUUAUAUAUAUAUAUAUUUAUGUAUAUCUAAAUUUAGUUUUAUAUUCCAAAACAUGUGUCCAAAUGAAAGUUUAAUUAUGUAUUGGUACCUAAGUGAGGGUCUGUUGGGGUUGGAUAUGCUAUUCCAUCUUACUAUCUCAUAAUGUACAAUGUUGUUACCCUACAAAAAUACAACAACUGCUAAAAUAAAUGGAAUGCUUCUCAAAUGUUUUAAACAUUUUUAAUGUAUUUAAAACUUCUAGCGUACAUUCAGAUUUAAUUAUACCAAUUUCAGCAUUGACGAAGAUUGCGCCACUCUAGCAGUCUUUCAGCUUCUCCCUACAAAUAAUUUCAUAUAAUUUAUCAACACGACCUAAGCUACUUUAUUUUUUUUAUCUAAUGGAAUAAGUACUGCCAAUAAUUUUCCGGAAAUUUUCGGAUGUGUUCCAAUGUGGUUUAAAAUUAGCCUUAUCAAAAAACAAGAAUAAAAACACCUCAAAAGUUAUUAAACUUUAGCAUCUGUACUUAUUCAUGCACAUAGACACAACUAUUGAUACAAAUCUAUAUUCUUAUAUAUAAAACUUAAGAAAAUGCAUAUUAAAUUCAUUCUGAAAACACAGCAUUUCAUAUGACAGGGGAAAAUAGGAAAAGGGAACGUUACGUAUUAUAAAAAGGCUUGUAAAAGUUGAUUUGUUUAUUCCAUCAAACUUUUACAUAUCAAAACUUCUUAAGUAUUGAUUGUUUCACUAUUUUAUGUGAAAAUUUACUAUUGUUGAUAUAUAUAAGAAAUGUAAUAUACUUUGACAGACGGUAAGAUUGAAAAAAAUGUUACAUACAUUUAAAAAUUCUCCAAUUCACUAAAUUUAUAUGCUCACAUGAUAUUAAAGUUUGACGUCAAAUAAAAGCUGAUGCAUCACUC